rfam:Felis catus c438001156.Contig1, whole genome shotgun sequence.
CCCUAGGCUCACGGAGCCUCCACUGCGGCUGCGCGACUAGUUGGAAAGCGUGCACCUUCUACUGCGGUUGCGCAAACUGGGCUCGCGCUCGCACGUCCCUUAGGUGCCACUCCUCCCUACAGUCUAGUUUCCUCGGGUCCUGUGUGCAGCCUACGGUUUCUG